rnacentral:lncRNA from 1 species
CGGCUCUGAUACCAAUUGUAGAAGCGUGAUUUUCUCAGAUACCAAUUGUUGGGACUGGUAUUUAUACCGAUACCGAUUAUAUAACCCAAGGUCUAAAAUAGAACAAAAUAAUAUAGAAAAGAGAGAUUGGAGGAGAAAGAAUUAAGAUAACUAAAAUAAUAAGCAAUUAAUUACAUUCGGGACGACAUCCUUGGCCAUGUCUAUUAUGGCUUAUUCAUCUAAUUAAUCCAUGCUAACUAUAUAUAGCCAUCAAAUCAUAACAGAUGAGUUAUUCAACUUUUACUUU